rnacentral:rRNA from 1 species
UACGAAGGGGGCUAGCGUUGCUCGGAAUCACUGGGCGUAAAGCGCACGUAGGCGGCCUAGCAAGUCGGGUGUGAAAUCCCUCGGCUUAACCGAGGAAGUGCAUUCGAAACUACUAGGCUUGAAUACUCAAGAGGGUCUCGGAAUUCCCGGUGUAGAGGUGAAAUUCGUAGAUAUCGGGAGGAACACCAGUGGCGAAGGCGGAGACCUGGGGAGAUAUUGACGCUGAGGUGCGAAAGCGUGGGGAGCAAACAGG